AUUAAAACCAUUGACAACGUCAAUAGUUAUUGCUGAGAGUGAAGGGAAAAAUGUGUUCCAAAGUAACCUGCGAAAAAUGCAACAAGCCUACAUGGUCAGGUUGUGGAAAACAUAUUGAACAGGCUUUGAAGGAUGUGCCGCCAGAACAAAGAUGUAAAUGCCCGAGAGAGUCAAAAUAAUGGAUUUUUUUACUGAAUAACGUUGGUUAUUAGAGAACAGAAAGCAAGAGAUAGUUAUUUUAUAUAAACACAUCUUUGUAUUGAUAUAUCCAUUAAUAAUAAACAUAAUUCGUUGUUAAUAA